rnacentral:rRNA from 1 species
AACGAACGCUGGCGGCAGGCUUAACACAUGCAAGUCGAACGCCCCGCAAGGGGAGUGGCAGACGAGUGAGUAACGCGUGGGAACGUGCCCUUCGCUUCGGAAUAGCCCCGGGAAACUGGGAGUAAUACCGAAUACGCCGUAUUGGGAAAGAUUUAUCGGCGAAGGAUCGGCCCGCGUUAGAUUAGCUAGUUGGCGGUGUAAUGGACCACCAAGGCUACGAUCUAUAGCUGGUCUGAGAGGAUGAUCAGCCACACUGGGACUGAGACACGGCCCAGACUCCUACGGGAGGCAGCAGUGGGGAAUCUUGAACAAUGGGCGCAAGCCUGAUCCAGCCAUGCCGCGUGAGUGAAGAAGGCCUUAGGGUUGUAAAACUCUUUCGCCGGAGAAGAUAAUGACGGUAUCCGGAGAAGAAGCCCCGGCUAACUUCGUGCCAGCCGCCGCCGUAAAAC